CUACAGGAACGUGAUGAGGCACUUUCCCACCUCUGAAGAAGGAUCCUGCCCCUGAGAGGCUGCUAUUGGCACAGUGUCUCAUGUGGAAAAGGAUUUUUUUGAUUCCCUUUUGCUUUGCGCUGGCAGUCCGUCUCAUUGAGCUCUUUACGUGAAAGUGUGGACGGGAGUGCAUGACUGGGAAAGUCUGUCUGAUUUUCUGCAGGUUUACCGCAGUCCGCCGGAUCCAGGCCGUAUCCGGAUCUGAUGAAGGAUCUGCACCUGGACACGACGACAACGCAGACCUGAAGUGUCAACUGGUCUCUCCCUUGUGAAGACCUCCUUUCCUUUACCUCUAUACAGAUAAAACGUUGUCGGGAUAAUUCUGGUUUAUGUGGCUAUGCGGAAGUUUUUUUUAUUUAUACCUUUAUUUAACCAGGAAAUCCCAUUGAGAUUCAGAAUCUCUUUUACAAGAGAGACCUGGCCAAGGUAGCAGCCAAAUCAUGGAUCAUCCGAAAUCAUGGAAGUGAUAUAAAAAUUCUGUAAUAUACAUUUUUAAAGGCUUGUACCUUGGAACCUAUUUUAUGGUUUGCAUUCUUGAGACACCAGGUACUUUUAGGUACGUUUUCUGUAAUAAUGGUGUCAUGUUAAGUUAAAAACUAAUGAUCGUUGCGACGGAAGUUAAUCAAUCAAAACGUACUUAAGCUGGACAAUAACUUUAUUUUAGAGCUGCUGUAAAGCCAAAACAAUCUCUGUUACUUUAAUUUCCUAUUAUCACUGUAAAGCUGCUUUGAAACAAUCUAUAUUGUUAAAAGCGCUAUAUAAAUGAAGGUAAAUUGACUUUCUUUAAUUGCCUGACCCUGAAAUCCCACUGGACAACAGCAGGCUCCAUCUCGGUUUCAUCAUUACCCGACGCUUUGGAUAGGUUUUUGUUUAGUCAUACUUAGCGCCCAUGGAUGCCUUCCAGCAUUACAAAACCACUAAACCUUACUUGAGCUGCCAAACCAGUGAGACCUGUUAAAGUUGGCAUUCAUGACUAACCAAAUGGUCCUGUAUCCAUGCUAGAAAAAUUAUGGUUAGGUUGAAUGACUAUAAUGUAAUAAGCCGAGUAGUGUACUGCUGCAACAACCACAAAUCAUGCAUUAAAUUAAACUUAUUUUCUUG